AUUAUCAUGCCUUAUUACAGUCACACCGUAUUAUAUUACAAUAAGAGAGUGUGUAAAUGUUUUGUAACUUUAUCUUCAGCACAAUCAUUUAUAUGUCAUCUGGUCCUAGCUGCUUACAAGUGUUCAGAUAGUUUUAGCUGGUUUACCAAAGUGCCCCAAACCCCUCUAAAACCAGUUAAAAAGGCUGAGGAGUCUUUUAAAAAAAAUACAAAAUCUUGCAUAUAAAUAAUUUUUAACACCUCCCCUGUCUGCAGCCACUUCUGUUAUUCUUUAAAAACUAUUUUAAGAGCUAUUAAAGAUCGAUAAAAUAUUAAACCACGCCCCUUUUGUCUCUAAUAAUGGUAAAAUGUGAUUUAUUAAGUAAAACCUUAGUUUUAUUUGACUUGGCCUAGCGUCUUGUCAAUGACACGACUUUUUGAAGUGACUCGUUUGGCAGGUUACAAGUGAAUCAUUGAAUCACCAACUGAACCGAGUCGUUCAAAACACUCGAUCUGAUUCGAUCUGUGAGGAAACACAUCUCAUUUGGGCUCGUUAUAAUUUUCUUUGUAGGAGGAAAAACAGACAACUGUAACUGGAAAUGUGGUGUGCAUACAUUUGAAUCCCAAAAUAAAUUUUACAAGUGGUCUCUGUGGGACAGUCAAGGUUCAGUCACAGGCUCAUAGACGUCAAUAAACAGAUCCUGCUGUGCUGCUCUCACUGUGGAUGACUGCCAAGUGCCGUGUAGUUUGAACACUAAUUGGGCCAGCAGGAGCCGAAAGAUGCAGACAGAUCCAAAGGUCCCAGUCCCUCACUGUGACGUACAUGAUGGGAGUCAAAUCAAUGAGAUGAGGCUGAAUCAAUGAGAUGUCAGUGUUGUCUUAUCAUUGCCUUUUGAAGCUUAAUGAUGAUCUUGCAGCUGCAGGUUAUAAUUUGACCAAACAAAAUAAAGGGGAGACGACAAAGCUGAGAAAUGAAACCCAACAUCGUGCUGAGUGAAAGAAGAAGGUUGCUCACCUCCGAUUUUCCAAAAACCAAUUUCCAAUCUACUUAUUCUGUUCUCGCACAGUAUGAGUCAUCUAACACACGGAGCAGCGCAGCUCCAACUGUAUUCUCUAUGGGGCAGGAAACAUCAUUUAAUUUCAGCAUUUUUGCUGAAAAACUGCUGAUGUAUAUUUCUGCCUCUUUACCUCUGCUUUCACCUUCUCAGGUUCAUGAUUCAUGCUUGGUUUUUGCAUUUUAAAAAAGGUACAAAGUCAAUUAUAUUUAGCCCAAACAGUCACAUUAACAGUCAUUAAAGUGUGAAAAGUAAUUAAACACUAAUUUGAGAGCAUUUGCAGUGAGUGCUCUUGUUGUCAGAUGUUCUGCUUUAGAUCAUCUCCUCACUGUAUUGUUGUGGACAGGACCAUUCAUAGUCAGCACCUCUCUAAGCUUAGGAACAGUUAAUUGAUUAGCCAUGCCACCUACUCCCUCUGAGCCCUCUCUCUAAAGAUAAGUGUCGUCUCUGAAAUCGAACCCUCUGCCUGGCAUGCUUCCGUCUGAUUAGCUGGCGGAACAAUUAUCUUAAUCGUGUCAUCUUAACAAACCCCCGCGAUAAGCCGCCUUGGGGCCAGUAAUCCAGAAGACCUUCGCCUACACGGCAAACUGUCCCUUAUCUCUCUUCAUAAUAAAGAUGAAUUAAGUUGAGGAAAAGACAACAUAAAGUUCCCAUUGCGGGUGUUUACGCGUCUUUGUUAGUGACAGUUGAUAGUUUAUCAAAUUAAGAAAUUAGGAGUCAAAUCAUCAUGACUUAACAGCAUUUAAUGUGUGGAAAAACAAUGUUAGAAAAAACUAGUUAAGUAAUGAUGAGUGCAUAGCUAGCUUGCAGUGCACAAAAUAGCCAACCCUCAAUUCUCUAUUCUAGUCUCUGUGUGUAACUGUUCAGAAGUUUAGGGUCAGUAACAUCUUAUGCUCUGCAUUUAUUUGAUCCAAAAAAACAAAACUGUAAUAUUGUGAAAUAUUAAUAUAAUUUAAGAUAUCUGUUUACUAUUUUAAUAUAUUUUAAACAUAAUUUAUUCCUGUGAUGCUAAA